rnacentral:rRNA from 1 species
UGGUGAAAUCCCAGAGCUUAACUCUGGAACUGCCAUCAAAACUUUUCAGCUAGAGUAUGAUAGAGGAAAGCAGAAUUUCUAGUGUAGAGGUGAAAUUCGUAGAUAUUAGAAAGAAUACCCAAUUGCGAAGGCAGCUUUCUGGAUCAUUACUGACACUGAGGAACGAAAGCAUGGGUAGCGAAGAGGAUUAGAUACCCUCGUAGUCCAUGCCGUAAACGAUGUGUGUUAGACGUUGGAAAUUUAUUUUCAGUGUCGCAGCGAAAGCGAUAAACACACCGCCUGGGGAGUACGACCGCAAGGUUAAAACUCAAAUGAAUUGACGGGGACCCGCACAAGUAGUGGAGCAUGUGGUUUAAUUCGAAGAUACGCGCAGAACCUUACCAACACUUGACAUGUUCGUCGCGACUCUAAGAGAUUGGAGUUUUCGGUUCGGCCGGACGAAACACAGGUGCUGCAUGGCUGUCGUCAGCUCGUGUCGUGAGAUGUUGGGUUAAGUCCCGCAACGAGCGCAACCCUCACUUUUAGUUGCCAUCAUUAAGUUGGGCACUCUGAAAGAACUGCCAGUGAUAAGCUGGAGGAAGGUGGGGAUGACGUCAAGUCCUCAUGGCCCUUACGUGUUGGGCUACACACGUGCUACAAUGGUAUCUACAACAGGAAGCAAGACUGCGAAGUUAAGCAAAUCCUUAAAAGAUACCUCAGUUCGGAUUGCACUCUGCAACUCGAGUGCAUGAAGCUGGAAUUACUAGUAAUCGUGGAUCAGCGUGCCACGGUGAAUGCGUUCCCGGGUCUUGUACACACCGCCCGUCACACCAUGGGAGUUGGUUCUACCUUAAGGCAAGGUUUAAAACCCUUGACCACGGUAUAGUCAGCGACUGGGGUGAAGUCGUAACAAGGU